ACGCGGUUACUCCCGCAAGGGAGUGACUGAGUGGCGAACGGGUGAGUAACACGUGGGUGACCUACCUUCGAGUGGGGGAUAACGUCCCGAAGGGGACGCUAAUACCGCAUAACAUCCUGCCUUUGAACAGGCGGAGAUCAAAGCCGGGGAUCGCAAGACCUGGCGCUUGAUGAGGGGCCCGCGUCUGAUUAGCUAGUUGGUGAGGUAACGGCUCACCAAGGCGACGAUCAGUAUCCGGCCUGAGAGGGCGGACGGACACACUGGGACUGAGACACGGCCCAGACUCCUACGGGAGGCAGCAGUGGGGAAUUGUUCGCAAUGGGCGCAAGCCUGACGACGCAACGCCGCGUGGAGGAUGAAGGUCUUCGGAUUGUAAACUCCUGUUGCCCGGGACGAAUGGCUCCGACCUAACACGUCGGGGUGUGACGGUACCGGGUGAGGAAGCCACGGCUAACUCUGUGCCAGCAGCCGCGGUAAUACAGAGGGGGCAAGCGUUG
rnacentral:rRNA from 1 species